GAUGAACGCUGGCGGCGUGCCUAAUACAUGCAUGUCGAGCGAACAGACGAGGAGCUUGCUCCUCUGACGUUAGCGGCGGACGGGUGAGUAACACGUGGAUAACCUACCUAUAAGACUGGGAUAACUUCGGGAAACCGGAGCUAAUACCGGAUAAUAUAUUGAACCGCAUGGUUCAAUAGUGAAAGACGGUUUUGCUGUCACUUAUAGAUGGAUCCGCGCCGCAUUAGCUAGUUGGUAAGGUAACGGCUUACCAAGGCAACGAUGCGUAGCCGACCUGAGAGGGUGAUCGGCCACACUGGAACUGAGACACGGUCCAGACUCCUACGGGAGGCAGCAGUAGGGAAUCUUCCGCAAUGGGCGAAAGCCUGACGGAGCAACGCCGCGUGAGUGAUGAAGGUCUUCGGAUCGUAAAACUCUGUUAUUAGGGAAGAACAAAUGUGUAAGUAACUAUGCACGUCUUGACGGUACCUAAUCAGAAAGCCACGGCUAAUUACGUG
rnacentral:rRNA from 1 species